rnacentral:rRNA from 1 species
AUUCCAGCUCCAAUAGCGUAUAUUAAAGUUGUUGCAGUUAAAAAGCUCGUAGUUGGAUUUGUGGUUGGGUCUGUCGGUCCGGCACAUUGUGCGGGUACUUGAUGGACUCGUCCAUCCUUGGGUGGAAUCUGUGUGGCAUUAAGUUGUCGUGCAGGGGAUGCCCAUCGUUUACUGUGAAAAAAUUAGAGUGUUCAAAGCAGGCUUAUGCCGUUGAAUAUAUUAGCAUGGAAUAAUGAGAUAGGACCUUGGUACUAUUUUGUUGGUUUGCGCACCGAGGUAAUGAUUAAUAGGGACAGUUGGGGGUAUUCGUAUUCCAUUGUCAGAGGUGAAAUUCUUGGAUUUUUGGAAGACGAACUACUGCGAAAGCAUUUACCAAGGAUGUUUUCAUCA